rnacentral:rRNA from 1 species
UGGGGAAUAUUGCACAAUGGGCGCAAGCCUGAUGCAGCCAUGCCGCGUGUAUGAAGAAGGCCUUCGGGUUGUAAAGUACUUUCAGCGGGGAGGAAGGUGUUGUGGUUAAUAACCGCAGCAAUUGACGUUACCCGCAGAAGAAGCACCGGCUAACUCCGUGCCAGCAGCCGCGGUAAUACGGAGGGUGCAAGCGUUAAUCGGAAUUACUGGGCGUAAAGCGCACGCAGGCGGUCUGUCAAGUCGGAUGUGAAAUCCCCGGGCGCAACCUGGGAACUGCAUUCGAAACUGGCAGGCUAGAGUCUUGUAGAGGGGGGUAGAAUUCCAGGUGUAGCGGUGAAAUGCGUAGAGAUCUGGAGGAAUACCGGUGGCGAAGGCGGCCCCCUGGACAAAGACUGACGCUCAGGUGCGAAAGCGUGGGGAGCAAACA